AUUUUAUUCAGUUUUUCUGCUGCGCUACUUGCUGCUAAUGGUUUCUUCAAAUUCGAGUUUAUUUACUUUGAAUGGAGUUUUAGACUAUGAAUGGCGUUGAUUGAAUAAGUAUUUCAAUUUGCGCACAAAAGACCACGACAAUAAUAAGGAUUGUGUGACAUCAGUUCCAAUAUGAAGGCGCAAUGGCAUUUGGCGUUGGUGUUGUUGGUUGUAACUGUGUUGGUGUGUAGUGGCGACAGUAGCUAUGGUCAUUUUGGAUCCACUCGAAAAAAUGGCAUGCGACAGCCUUUUAUUCCCUAAUGUUCCUGCAAUAUAACGAAAAAAAAGAAGGAUAUUUUACUGGUGGAAAAAAAGUGAAUGACAAAUGAAGUAGUAGUCCUU